rnacentral:rRNA from 1 species
UACGUAGGUGACCAGCGUUGUCCGGAUUUACUGGGCGUAAAGAGCGCGCAGGCGGUCGUUCAAGUCGAGUGUGAAGGCCCCCGGCUCAACUGGGGAGGGUCACUCGAUACUGAUCGACUUGAAGGCAGGAGAGGGAAGCGGAAUUCCCGGUGUAGUGGUGAAAUGCGUAGAUAUCGGGAGGAACACCAGUGGCGAAGGCGGCUUCCUGGCCUGUUCUUGACG